UUUAUUUUUAGAAGAAACUUUUAAAUGUUGUGAAGAUAUAUUAAUUUUAGCCAUGAUUAUGUAUGUCAUUUUAUAAUCUAAUACUUUUAUGAUGUAUUUAAAUGGGUUUUGAUGGUUGCAAACUCCAUCGGAAAUUUGAAUUGAGAUAAUGACCAUAUCUUGAGGAAAAUAUUUUUUUUUUUUUAAAAAAGGGGGUUGGGGUUAUUAAAAAUAAAUUAGGGGGGUAAGAUUACAGAAAAUUGGAAAGAAAGGGGACGGGUGGGGAUAAACAAUUUAUUUGGGGGAAUUUUUCUUCAAGAUUUCUUAUUUCAAAUCGUAUAACCAAUUUUAAGUUCUUUGACUACAGUUAUUCUGUGUCAAAAACCUAUAAUGUGUCCAAUUUUGUCCCAACUGUUCAGGGUUGAACCUAUACGGUUAAAGUUUUUUUAGGUUUUUACCCCAAUUUUCACGGUCAACUUAACAUAUA
rnacentral:lncRNA from 1 species